rnacentral:rRNA from 1 species
GAUGAACGCUGGCGGCGUGCUUAACACAUGCAAGUCGAACGGAAAGGCCCAAGCUUGCUUGGGUACUCGAGUGGCGAACGGGUGAGUAACACGUGGGUGAUCUGCCCUGCACUUCGGGAUAAGCCUGGGAAACUGGGUCUAAUACCGGAUAGGACCACAUUUUGGAUGGUGUGGUGGAAAGUUUUUCGGUGUGGGAUGAGCUCGCGGCCUAUCAGCUUGUUGGUGGGGUAAUGGCCUACCAAGGCGUCGACGGGUAGCCGGCCUGAGAGGGUGUACGGCCACAUUGGGACUGAGGUACGGCCCAGACUCCUACGGGAGGCAGCAGUGGGGAAUAUUGCACAAUGGGCGCAAGCCUGAUGCAGCGACGCCGCGUGGGGGAUGACGGCCUUCGGGUUGUAAACUCCUUUCGCUAGGGACGAAGCGUUAUGUGACGGUACCUGGAGAAGAAGCACCGGCUAACUACGUG